AGAGUUUGAUCCUGGCUCAGGAUGAACGCUAGCUACAGGCUUAACACAUGCAAGUCGAGGGGCAGCAUGGUCUUAGCUUGCUAAGGCUGAUGGCGACCGGCGCACGGGUGAGUAACACGUAUCCAACCUGCCGUCUACUCUUGGCCAGCCUUCUGAAAGGAAGAUUAAUCCAGGAUGGGAUCAUGAGUUCACAUGUCCGCAUGAUUAAAGGUAUUUUCCGGUAGACGAUGGGGAUGCGUUCCAUUAGAUAGUAGGCGGGGUAACGGCCCACCAAGGCGACGAUCAGUAGGGGUUCUGAGAGGAAGGUCCCCCACAUUGGAACUGAGACACGGUCCAAACUCCUACGGGAGGCAGCA
rnacentral:rRNA from 1 species